GUGAUGUGCAACAGUUAAAGUUAGCGCUGCACAUAUACCUUUAAAUCCACCAUUCUGGGUGUGCCCCUCAUCUUAAAACAGAGAGACCCAAGUAUUUUUCAGAAUCUGAGAGUUUCCACUGUCAACUGGAGCCACAAUAAAUGCACAUGUCCCUUUAAAGCCCUUUAAAUUGCAGCAGCUGAGUGUGAUUCUGAGGCUGCCCCCAUGAUGAAGGGGAUCUGACAAUCUCUCUUCUGAUAUCAGCACUGAUGUCAUCAGAGAUAAUCCCUCUAAAG